rnacentral:rRNA from 1 species
GUAAGAUGUGGUAAUCUGCCUUGGAGAGGGGAUAACCUGGCGAAAGNUGGGNUAAUAACCCCCAUGAAGUUUAACGAUCUUAGGAUGGUUAGAUGAAAGGAUGGCUUCUAUUUAUAAGCUAUCGCUUCAAGAGGAGCUCAACACCUAUCACGCUUGUUGGUGAGGUAAGAGCUCACCAAGGCGACGACGGGUAGCCGGCCUGAGAGGGUGUCCGGCCACACUGGAACUGAGAUACGGUCCAGACUCNUACGGGAGGCAGCAGUGGGGAAUUUUUCGCAAUGGGGGCAACCCUGACGAAGCAACGCCGCGUGGAGGAUGAAGGCCCUAGCGGUUGUAAACUCCUGUCUAGCGGGACGAAGGUACACGUUGCAAAUAGCGAGGUGUAUUGACUGUACCGCUGGAGGAAGCUCCGGCCAACUCCGUGCCAGCAGCCGCGGUAAUACGGAGGGAGCAAGCGUUACUCGGAAUUAUUGGGCGUAAAGGGCGCGUAGGCGAUUUGACAAGUCACAUGUGAAAGCCCAGGGCUUAACUUUGGAAGUGCAUGUGAGACUGUUGAAUUUGAGUACAGGAGAGGAAGGCAGAAUUCCCGGUGUAGCGGUG